CGAACGCUGGCGGCGUGCCUAAUACAUGCAAGUCGAGCGGACAGAUGGGAGCUUGCUCCCUGAUGUUAGCGGCGGACGGGUGAGUAACACGUGGGUAACCUGCCUGUAAGACUGGGAUAACUCCGGGAAACCGGGGCUAAUACCGGAUGGUUGUCUGAACCGCAUGGUUCAGACAUAAAAGGUGGCUUCGGCUACCACUUACAGAUGGACCCGCGGCGCAUUAGCUAGUUGGUGAGGUAACGGCUCACCAAGGCGACGAUGCGUAGCCGACCUGAGAGGGUGAUCGGCCACACUGGGACUGAGACACGGCCCAGACUCCUACGGGAGGCAGCAGUAGGGAAUCUUCCGCAAUGGACGAAAGUCUGACGGAGCAACGCCGCGUGAGUGAUGAAGGUUUUCGGAUCGUAAAGCUCUGUUGUUAGGGAAGAACAAGUGCCGUUCAAAUAGGGCGGCACCUUGACGGUACCUAACCAGAAAGCCACGGCUAACUACGUGCCAGCAGCCGCGGUAAUACGUAGGUGGCAAGCGUUGUCCGGAAUUAUUGGGCGUAAAGGGCUCGCAGGCGGUUUCUUAAGUCUGAUGUGAAAGCCCCCGGCUCACCCGGGGAGGGUCAUUGGAAACUGGGGAACUUGAGUGCAGAAGAGGAGAGUGGAAUUCCACGUGUAGCGGUGAAAUGCGUAGAGAUGUGGAGGAACACCAGUGGCGAAGGCGACUCUCUGGUCUGUAACUGACGCUGAGGAGCGAAAGCGUGGGGAGCGAACAGGAUUAGAUACCCUGGUAGUCCACGCCGUAAACGAUGAGUGCUAAGUGUUAGGGGGUUUCCGCCCCUUAGUGCUGCAGCUAACGCAUUAAGCACUCCGCCUGGGGAGUACGGUCGCAAGACUGAAACUCAAAGGAAUUGACGGGGGCCCGCACAAGCGGUGGAGCAUGUGGUUUAAUUCGAAGCAACGCGAAGAACCUUACCAGGUCUUGACAUCCUCUGACAAUCCUAGAGAUAGGACGUCCCCUUCGGGGGCAGAAUGACAGGUGGUGCAUGGUUGUCGUCAGCUCCUGUCCUGAGAUGUUGGGUUAAGUCCCGCAACAGACGCAACCCUUGAUCUUAUUUGCCAGCAUUCAUUUGGGCACUCUAAGGUGACUGCCGGUGACAACCCGAAGGAAGGUGGGGAUGACGUCAAAUCAUCAUGCCCCUUAUGACCUGGGCUACACACGUGCUACAAUGGACAGAACAAAGGGCAGCGAAACCGCGAGGUUAAGCCAAUCCCACAAAUCUGUUC
rnacentral:rRNA from 1 species